UACGAAGGGGGCUAGCGUUGCUCGGAAUCACUGGGCGUAAAGGGUGCGUAGGCGGGUCUUUAAGUCAGGGGUGAAAUCCUGGAGCUCAACUCCAGAACUGCCUUUGAUACUGAGGAUCUUGAGUACGGGAGAGGUGAGUGGAACUGCGAGUGUAGAGGUGAAAUUCGUAGAUAUUCGCAAGAACACCAGUGGCGAAGGCGGCUCACUGGCCCGUAACUGACGCUGAGGCACGAAGCGUGGGGAUCAAACAGG
rnacentral:rRNA from 1 species